rnacentral:rRNA from 1 species
GAUGAACGCUGGCGGCGUGCCUAAUACAUGCAAGUCGAGCGCACGGACGAGAAGCUUGCUUCUCUGAUGUUAGCGGCGGACGGGUGAGUAACGCGUGGAUAACCUACCUAUUAGACUGGGAUAACUUCGGGAAACCGGAGCUAAUACCGGAUAAUAUUUUGAACCGCAUGGUUCAUAAGUGAAAGACGGUAUUGCUGCCACUCAUAGAUGGCUCCGCGUUUCAUUAGCUAGUUGGUAAGGUAACGGCUUACUAAGGCAACGAUGCAUAGCCGACCUGAGAGGGGGUUCGGCCACACGGGAACUGAGACACGGUCCGAACUCCUACGGGAGGCAGCAGAAGGGAAUCUUCGGCAAUGGGCGAAAGCCUGACGGAGCAACGCGGCGUGAGUGAGGAAGGUCUUCGGAUCUUAAGACUCUGUUAUAAGGGAAGAACAGAGGUGUAGGGGACUGUGCACAUCGUGACGGUACCUAAUCAGAAAGCCACGGCUAACUACGUG